GAUCGCUGUGAUGCGGGCGGUUCGCCGCCCGUGACUCUGCGAGAAGUUCAUUGAACCUUAUCAUUUAGAGGAAGGAGAAGUCGUAACAAGGUUUCCGUAGGUGAACCUGCGGAAGGAUCAUUGUCGAGACCGAAAUAAAUUGAGUGAUUUUGAGAACUUGUCAUAACAAUAUGCGGUUAUUAUUGCUGCGAUAAAAUCCAACCCAGUCGUCGCCUUCUCUCUUUUUGGGUGGGGCAGCAAGGAAGGAUGGAUAAACCCUCAAAUCGGCGCAGCGUCGCGUCAAGGCAAUAUCGAAAACACAGGCCCUAGAAUGGGUUUUGUGGAAAUGUGGUGUUGUUGCACACCAUACGGAUUUACACGACUCUCGGCAAUGGAUAUCUCGGCUCUCGCAUCGAUGAAGAGCGCAGCGAAAUGCGAUACGUGGUGCGAAUUGCAGAAUCCCGCGAACCAUCGAGUCUUUGAACGCAAGUUGCGCCCGAGGCCAACCGGCUAAGGGCACGUCUGCCUGGGCGUCAAUCGUUAUGUUGCUCCAUGUCAAGUCACCAAUUGUAGGAUGUGUGGCAAAGGCUUGGAUGUGCAUAGUGGCUCGUCGUGCCCCAUAGCGCGGCGGGCUGAAGAGCAGGUCAUCUUCUCGUUGGCUGCGAACAAUAAGGGGUGUAUUAAACGAGGCCUAUGUUAUUGUGUCAUGCAUGCCUAAGAGAAGAUCACACUUUUUAAUUGAUCCCAAAUCAUGCGGCAAUCCUUGGAUGACGUUUUGAAUGCGACCCCAGGAUGGGCGAGGUCACCCGCCGAGUUUAAGCAUAUCAAUAAGCGGAGGAGAAGAAACUUACGAGGAUUCCCCUA
rnacentral:rRNA from 1 species